rnacentral:rRNA from 1 species
UACGUAGGCAGCGAGCGUUGUUCGGAGUUACUGGGCGUAAAGGGUGCGUAGGCGGGUCUUUAAGUCAGGGGUGAAAUCCUGGAGCUCAACUCCAGAACUGCCUUUGAUACUGAAGAUCUUGAGUUCGGGAGAGGUGAGUGGAACUGCGAGUGUAGAGGUGAAAUUCGUAGAUAUUCGCAAGAACACCAGUGGCGAAGGCGGCUCACUGGCCCGAUACUGACGCUGAGGCACGAAAGCGUGGGGAGCAAACAGG